AUACGGAGGAUCCGAGCGUUAUCCGGAUUUAUUGGGUUUAAAGGGUGCGCAGGCGGGAGAUUAAGUCGGUGGUGAAAUUUUGCAGCUCAACUGUAAAAGUGCCUUCGAAACUGGUUUCCUUGAGUGUAGAUGAAGUAGGCGGAAUUUGUGGUGUAGCGGUGAAAUGCAUAGAUAUCACGAGGAACUCCGAUUGCGCAGGCAGCUUACUAAACUACUACUGACGCUCAGGCACGAAGGCGUGGGGAUCAAACAGGAUUAGAUAUCCUGGUAGUCCACGCAGUAAACGAUGAUUACUAGCUGUUUGCGAUACAAUGUAAGCGGCUGAGCGAAAGCGUUAAGUAAUCCACCUGGGGAGUACGUUCGCAAGAAUGAAACUUAAAGGAAUUGACGGGG
rnacentral:rRNA from 1 species